CGGGGUGUAAUUCAUCGGUAGAAUGCUCGGUUCGGGACCGAGAUGUAGAGAGUUCAAUUCUCUCCACCCCGA
rnacentral:tRNA from 1 species